AGACGUGUUGGGUGGAUGUAAGGUGCAUGUCAGGCGUCUCCCUUUUCAGCGCUGUGAAGCAUGUCUCAUCACAAGGCCCAGCAACUUUACAAUGAGCGAAUGAUGGCACAGAGAAAGAUGAGCAUCGUUUGGACCAGUUUUACAGCUGUAAAUGAAAUAUUGCAAUCUGUGCAAUGACAGCAUUUGCUACUGUGGCGACACUACCAAUUUAUUUAAACUGAGCAAAGAGGAGGGAAAUCCCAUGACACAGAGGCAGAGCUCACUGACACAGUAAUUUCAGAGAGGAGCAUAUCCAGAUGUUUCACCAAAAGAUAUGGAGAUUACAGAGAACUCUACUGAAAUGACAACAAAGGAC